AUCCUUUUGUGGUUCAUAAGCGUUAUGACUGGGUGUUCAUGAGCAUGCGUGACAUGCACCACCCUCAAAUCCUGUAAUGCACUGGCAUAUUACCCAUCUGAUG